AGGAAUGCGUCUACAUGGCCAAGCUGGCCGAGCAGGCUGAGCGCUAUGACGAGAUGGUGGAGGAGAUGAAGAAGGUGGCCAAGCUGGUGCACGACCAGGAGCUGUCCGUGGAGGAGCGCAACCUGCUUUCGGUGGCUUACAAGAACGUCAUUGGCGCUCGCCGCGCGUCCUGGCGCAUUAUCUCCUCCAUAGAGCAGAAGGAGGAGGCUAAGGGCAACGAGGAGCAUGUCCAGCGCAUUCGCAAGUACCGCACUGUGGUAAGCAGCGCUCGGAAGGGACAAGGGCUAUGAUCCUUCUGCGUCGACAUGGGAACCUUCCGGGGCCCCUUGCACUUGGCAUGGUCAACCAGCAGGCUGACCUUGGCCAUAACCUGCUGCGCAGGUCGAGGAGGAGCUCAGCAAAAUCUGCGCCAGCAUUCUGCAGCUGUUGGACGACCACCUGAUCCCCACUGCCUCCACUGGCGAGAGCAAGGUGUUCUACCUGAAGAUGAAGGGCGACUACCACCGCUACCUGGCUGAGUUUAAGACCGGCGCUGACCGCAAGGAGGCUGCCGAGCACACCCUGCUCGCGUACAAGGCCGCGCAGGUCAGCGAAGAAGCUGGAGGGACUCCAGGUCGCGGGCAGUGACUGGGGCUGUGACCUCCAAUGCCAUGCGCUUUUGGCG
rnacentral:lncRNA from 1 species